UGUAACGGAUUUUUGUAAUUUGAACAGUAUUUUACUGUAAUAUGUACAGUAUAAUACUGUUAAAUGUGCCAACAGUAUAAUACUGUAAAUAGCAAAGGAUUAUGGGAAAAUAUAUGUUUAGUACUGUAAUUAUUCUCUACUGUAAAUCGAUUUACAGUAGCGACAAUGCCCGCGAAAAAACUGACCAAUGACAACGGAGAAUUCUUUUCAAGUUUUUUUUUUCGGUUGGUUGGGACAACUGAGGAAAGACUCAACAAAAAGGUUAGUAUUGUUUCUGUAAUUAUUUUAUGUAAAACCGAGAUAUUUUCAAAUGCAGUCAUUUAUUAACAGCAACCUAACACGAACCAGUGUUGCAAAUUGAGUGAGUUGUUAAUGUGAGGACAAUAUUCCUGUCGUCAAGAGACUUUUUUUCUGCCUGUUUUUCAAGGCGUGAGGUAAUGUUACAAUUUUUACUGCCGUCAUCAUUAUGACAACUUCAACGGGGUGAAUAAACUUUACAUUGACUGAUAUUUAGUGACACAGAAACAAAAUAAGCCUUUUUUUAAUGCUCCUCUGCCUCUUUAAUGUAAAUUAGCUAAGCAGGAGGACUCUGUGGAAACUUUACGUUAACCGCAAAAUAUAUUGAAUGACGAAAAGAAAAGUGAGGCAACACUAAAGAUAGAGGUUGUAUUAUAACAGUAUUUUGAAGUGAAUAUUUUGUUUUCAUUUAAAGUAUUUUCCUGCUAGAACCGCGGAACGUCGGAGGUGUCUUGGAGUUAUUUUCUGGCGGUUACCGUCAUCUGAGGAAACUGGUUCAUUCUGAGAAUAAACCCUGAUGGCACCAAAAUCAAAAUCACAGAUCAGCCGGGCAUCUGGAAAAAGGAUGCAGAGAAAAAUCGCCAGCCUGAAUCCCCUUGUGGCAUCUUUCAUCAGAGAGCUUGUUGAAUUCGAUUGGCAAAAUUAUUGAAAGAAAACACGACUAAAACAUGUUUUUACUGUU